rnacentral:rRNA from 1 species
GGCCGCGGGAAUUCGAUUCAGGCCUAACACAUGCAAGUCGAGCGGUAGAGAGAAGCUUGCUUCUCUUGAGAGAGGCGGACGGGUGAGUAAUGCCUAGGAAUCUGCCUGGUAGUGGGGGAUAACGUUCGGAAACGGACGCUAAUACCGCAUACGUCCUACGGGAGAAAGCAGGGGACCUUCGGGCCUUGCGCUAUCAGAUGAGCCUAGGUCGGAUUAGCUAGUUGGUGAGGUAAUGGCUCACCAAGGCUACGAUCCGUAACUGGUCUGAGAGGAUGAUCAGUCACACUGGAACUGAGACACGGUCCAGACUCCUACGGGAGGCAGCAGUGGGGAAUAUUGGACAAUGGGCGAAAGCCUGAUCCAGAAAGGCCGCGUGUGUGAAGAAGGUCUUCGGAUGUAAUAUUUAAAGGAGUUGGGAGGAAGGGCAUUAACCUAAUACGUUAGU